rnacentral:rRNA from 1 species
AACUCGCGAGAGCGCGCCAAUCUCAAAACGACCAUCCUCAGUUCGGAUUGGAGUCUGCAACUCGACUCCAUGAAGUUGGAAUCGCUAGUAAUCGCGGAUCAGCAUGCCGCGGUGAAUACGUUCCCGGGCCUU